rnacentral:rRNA from 2 species
UUCGGUGGUUUUGGCGAGGGGGAAACACCCGGUCCCAUCCCGAACCCGGAAGUUAAGCCCUUCAGCGCCGAUGGUACUGCAUGGGAGACCGUGUGGGAGAGUAGGACGCCGCCGGAC